GCCCGCUUGGCUCAGGGGUAGAGCGCGCCACUCGUAAGGUCCAUGUGAUCAGCGAUGGUGAGGUCAGUCGUUCAAAUCGGCUAGUGGGCA